GUGGAUGUAGCUCAGUUGGUUAGAGCGCUUGGUUGUGGCCCAAGAGGCCGGGGGUUCAAGUCCCCUCAUUCACC
rnacentral:tRNA from 1 species